GUCAUGGCUGCAUUGCGCUGUUGUAGUCCCAGCUACUUGGGAGGCUGAGACAGGAGGAUCGCUUGAGUCCAGGAGUUCUGGGCUGUAGUGCUCUAUGCCGAUCGGGUGUCCGCACUAAGUUUGGCAUCAAUAUGGUGACCUCCUGGGAGCGGGGGACCACCAGGUUGCCUAAGGAGGGGUGAACCGGCCCAGGUCGGAAAUGGAGCAGGUCAAAACUCCCGUGCUGAUUAGUCUUUUUUUUUUUAACCAGUUCUGAUAAUUAUUGUUAAUUUUCAUCUUGGGAGAAUCUACACUGUCUUA
rnacentral:SRP_RNA from 1 species